rnacentral:rRNA from 1 species
CCUACGGGAGGCUGCAGUGGGGAAUUUUGGACAAUGGGCGCAAGCCUGAUCCAGCCAUUCCGCGUGAGUGAAGAAGGCCUUCGGGUUGUAAAGCUCUUUCGCAAGGGAAGAAAACUUAUCCUCUAACAUAGGAUGAGGUUGACGGUACCUUGAUAAGAAGCACCGGCUAACUACGUGCCAGCAGCCGCGGUAAUCCGUAGGGUGCGAGCGUUAAUCGGAAUUACUGGGCGUAUAGUGUGCGUCAGAUGUGAAAUCCCCGAGCUCAACAUGGGAACGGCGUUUGAAACUACAAGACUAGAAUAGGGCAGAGGGGGGUAGAAUUCCACGUGGAGCAGUGAAAUGCGUAGAGAUGUGGAGGAAUAUCAAUGGCGAAGGCAGCCCCCUGGGAUCAUAUUGACGCUCAUGCACGAAAGCGUGGGGAGCAAACAGGAUUAGAUACCCCAGUAGUC